rnacentral:rRNA from 1 species
GACAGAGGGGGCAAACGUUGUUCGGAAUUACUGGGCGUAAAGCGCGUGUAGGCGGCUCGGAAAGUCGGAUGUGAAAUCCCCAGGCUUAACCUGGGAACUGCAUCCGAUACUGGAUGGCUUGAAUCCGGGAGAGGGAUGCAGAAUUCCAGGUGUAGCGGUGAAAUGCGUAGAUAUCUGGAGGAAUACCGGUGGCGAAGGCGGCAUCCUGGACCGGCAUUGACGCUGAUGAGCGAAAGCUAGGGGAGCAAACGGG